GACGAACGCUGGCGGCGUGCUUAACACAUGCAAGUCGAACGAGGGGAUUAGAAGCUUGCUUUUAUGACCCGAGUGGCAAACGGGUGAGUAACGCGUAGACAACCUGCCUCUCAGAUGGGGACAACAUCCCGAAAGGGGUGCUAAUACCGAAUGUUGUGCAACUUCCACAUGGAGGAUGCACCAAAGGUGGUUUCGGCCACCGCUGAGAGAUGGGUCUGCGUCUGAUUAGCUUGUUGGCGGGGUAACGGCCCACCAAGGCGACGAUCAGUAGCCGGUCUGAGAGGAUGAACGGCCACAUUGGAACUGAGACACGGUCCAGACUCCUACGGGAGGCAGCAGUGGGAAUCUUCCGCAAUGGCGCAAGCCUGACGGAGCAACGCCGCGUGAACGAUGACGGCCUU
rnacentral:rRNA from 1 species